UGGGGAAUAUUGGACAAUGGGCGAAAGCCUGAUCCAGCCAUGCCGCGUGUGUGAAGAAGGUCUUCGGAUUGUAAAGCACUUUAAGUUGGGAGGAAGGGCAUUAACCUAAUACGUUAGUGUUUUGACGUUACCGACAGAAUAAGCACCGGCUAACUCUGUGCCAGCAGCCGCGGUAAUACAGAGGGUGCAAGCGUUAAUCGGAAUUACUGGGCGUAAAGUGCUCGUAGGUGGUUUGUUAAGUUGGAUGUGAAAUCCCCGGGCUCAACCUGGGAACUGCAUUCAAAACUGACUGACUAGAGUAUGGUAGAGGGUGGUGGAAUUUCCUGUGUAGCGGUGAAAUGCGUAGAUAUAGGAAGGAACACCAGUGGCGAAGGCGACCACCUGGACUAAUACUGACACUGAGGUGCGAAAGCGUGGGGAGCAAACA
rnacentral:rRNA from 1 species